CUGAAACAGAUCUGAAUCCCGA
rnacentral:snRNA from 1 species